CUUGAACUUGAAGUGGCAGAAGAGAUGGAGCCAGUGAAGGAAUUCAGAGACGGAAGGAUAUGAUUUGGAGACCGUGUAGCAGAGGAAUCCCUAAAACAGGUCAUCCUUCAUGAAAAGUACCACCACCAUGUGCUGCCCCCAAGCCAAAGGCUGCAGUACAUUUAAAAUACCAUUGUGUAUACUUCGGACUUGAUCAUGCAAGAUACGGAGUGCCCUCGGCGCCACUGCAGUGAAAGGACAGUCCCUUGACAGAACUGGGCCCUUAAUUACCUCAGCCUGGGCUCAUUUUCAACUCUGGAGCAGCAACAUUAAAU